rnacentral:lncRNA from 1 species
GUUCUCACAAUGGGGCCAUAGGCCUCAGUUCAUCAAGAGAACUGAGCCUUUGAGGAUUUGCUAGGAAACUCUUGACUGAAGGGACGCCGGUGGAUGAAUCACUUUGUUUCUUAUGGAAAAGAUGAAAACUUUCUUUGUGGUUAUCUUGGCUACUGACUAUUUCUUACAUAUUUCUGGUAACAAUCCAUAUGCGAACCCAAGCACUUUCCUGUGAGAAACCUAAACCAGAGGGAGAGGCCACGUGUAGGCAAUCUUGAUGGAGCUAGAGGACUUCCAGCCUAAACUGCCAAUAACCUAACAUCCAUUUGAGCCUGAAGUUAACUGCAGUCUCAGCUGACAUCUGACUGAAAAUACCUAAGACACCUCAAGCUAGAACUGCCCAGCUGAG